rnacentral:rRNA from 1 species
CCUACGGGGGGCUGCAGUGGGGAAUAUUGGACAAUGGGGGCAACCCUGAUCCAGCCAUGCCGCGUGUGUGAAGAAGGCCCUCGGGUUGUAAAGCACUUUCAGUGAGGAAGAACGCCUGGUGGUUAAUACCCAUCAGGAAAGACAUCACUCACAGAAGAAGCACCGGCUAACUCCGUGCCAGCAGCCGCGGUAAUACGGAGGGUGCGAGCGUUAAUCGGAAUUACUGGGCGUAAAGCGCGCGUAGGUGGCUUGAUAAGCCGGUUGUGAAAGCCCCAGGCUCAACCUGGGAACGGCAUCCGGAACUGUCAAGCUAGAGUGCAGGAGAGGAAGGUAGAAUUCCCGGUGUAGCGGUGAAAUGCGUAGAGAUCGGGAGGAAUACCAGUGGCGAAGGCGGCCUUCUGGACUGACACUGACACUGAGGUGCGAAAGCGUGGGUAGCAAACAGGAUUAGAUACCCGAGUAGUC